CUAACCCUAAAUCUAACCAUAGUACUUAAACAUGAAACCGAAUCCUAAUUCUAACCUCAAUCCUUCAUUCUAAAAGCUAAAUCUAAUCUUAAACCCAACCAUAAAUCUUCAAACUGAAACCUAACCCUAACUCUAAACUCAACCCUUCAACCUGAAACUGAAACCUAACCCUAAGUCUAAACUCAACCCUUCAACCUGAAACUGAAACCUAACCCUAAGUCUAAACUCAACCCUUCAACCUGAAACUGAAACCUAACCCUAACUCUAAACUCAACCCUUCAACCUGAAACUGAAACCUAACCCUUCAAACUAAAACCUGGAUCUCACCCUGAGCUUAACCCUUCAUCUUAAAAUUAAACUGAAUCUAACCCUGAUCUUAAAAUCUGUCCUUCACCCGUGACGAUAUGACGUUCUCUGACUUUGUGUCUCCUGCUUUCAGUUUUCGUCCAAGCUGCUGGCCGAUGGAUGUGACGCCGGCUUCCUCAGGGAGAAAUGAGAGGAGAGUGGAAGAGGAACAGUCCUGCCUCGUUCAGCUCUCCCUCUGAAACCCUGGCAGACUUACUGUACGGGAAUACAAAGCGUGUGUUUGACUGCACACUGACAGGCGGUAAAGGGAAGAGGCCAGCCCGUAUAAGAGCACCGUCAGUCACGCUGUACGACUCAGAUCUCCCACCCACCUCACAUGUUAAG